UGGGAUGUUGAGGCCUUCAGUUAUUUAAAUCCGAAUCGAGGAUCUCAGCAUUAUUUUCCUAAUAUAAACUAAGAUUAAUCCAAAUUUUUAGAGCUGAUGUCGCAUGCUAUAUAUACACUUGAAGAACCCGAUAGUUCCAACAACUUCCACGACGUGAGCACCGCCAUCCCUAGAAUUUCGCGGAGCGGACGAAGAAGGUCGCAUCGAUGCCAGUCAUCCCUCAUCCGCGACGACGAGGCCGGAGAAGAGCGCCUGACGGCCGCCGGAGAAUGGAGGGUCCGGCCCAGGAGCGGGGAGCCCAUGGCUUUCCGGAAAUGACCCUCCUCUACCCUUUUCGUGAGGAUCGAUGGAAGGAAGGGAGAGAGCCCAAGAAACCACACGCGAGGUGUCAUCCUUUCUCGGGGACGCAGAAUGGCAUUCUUUCUGUAAGUUCUGGAACGAGGGAUUGGUUCGGACACCUCUAUAUGAUCAAGUGUCAUAGACGACGGCAGCAUCCAUGGAUGUAGCCCUCGACGACGCCGUGACGAGUGCCGGGUUCUGGCCGUGGUAGGGAAAGAGAGCCCAGUACAGCAGCAGCUCGAACCCAUGGCUGAACGGGAAUGGUAGUGUGACCCUCCUCUUCUCUUCCCUAGGGGAUCAACGGAAGAAUGGAGAAAUCGUAUGAAACCAUACGUGAGUGGGACCAAAGCUUUGGCCAUCUUUUUGCAAAGGUUGUUUGGAGUGGACACUACAACCUCGGAUUUCAUGACUUGGAAAUAGAAGAAAACAUUGCUUAUAAUUAUAGAGCUAAUUGGAUGCCUGGCUGCCUCAUGUCAAGCGUAAGUUUCAUUUGUUUUUCUUAUAUGUCAUGUUAGUCUAGUAAGAACAUAGGUUGAUGACAAGACUAUUUUGCAAAAUGAAUUUCUGAUAGUCAUAUGAUCUAACUUUAUCUUC